rnacentral:rRNA from 1 species
UACGUAGGGUGCAAGCGUUGUCCGGAAUUAUUGGCGUAAAGAGCUCGUAGGCGGUUUGUUGCGUCGGCUGUGAAAUCCCGAGGCUCAACCUCGGGUCUGCAGUCGAUACGAGCAAACUAGAGUGUUGCAGGGGAGACUGGAAUUCCUGGUGUAGCGGUGAAAUGCGCAGAUAUCAGGAGGAACACCGGUGGCGAAGGCGGGUCUCUGGGCAACAACGUGACGC